CAAGACCAUGGUUACCUCUUCAUGUAAUCAAUACUGUGAUGUGGUGUUGCAAGAGGAAGAGGCCACGAAGCCUUGUCACACCAGCUCACCUCUUCCCACCUUCUGUAGAUAUAUAUAGAUGAGCUUAGUCUCUCAAUUUUCCUGGAAACCACAGGAAGAGAAGAAAGGAAGCAAGAGUGGCGGCCAAGAAGAAGGAAGAGGAAGACCCAGCAUAAAUCAUCAUCAUCUGCGUGCGUCACCACCAAGAAGAAGGAGAAGGGUCAUCAAGAGAGCUGCUAUCCGAAGCCAAAGAAGGAACCCUACCUCUUUCCUUUCCUGGUUUUCUUAGUGUUCCUCUUGUUGGGGUUUUCUGAUUUAAUAUAGCAAAGGACAGACUUUGGUUUGUGAAAUUUUCGAAGAGAGACGGGUCCGGCAAAGGAGCCCUGUGAGGUUCGUUCUAACCGCUGAGCUAUGAGGAUCCGGCGCGCGGUGGAGUCUUCAUAUGGAGCAUGUUUUGGACCUCUUUCUUGCACAAUGUUCGGAGAUCACUCCAGAGUUAGUCACAGUGGAUCUUUCGCUCCUAUUUGAUGAUCUUAGUAUCACUUUCCCCUCACUUUUGUAGUACUUUUAAAGGGGUAGGACGUCUUAGUAGUUCGGUUCCAGCUUAGGAAACCCGUGUGAGGGUUGUGACUGAUUUCUUCUUUUGUAUCUGUACGUAUAACUUGGUGUGAUACUCGGC